rnacentral:rRNA from 1 species
GAUGAACGCUGGCUACAGGCUUAACACAUGCAAGUCGAGGGGAAACGACGGGGAAGCUUGCUUCCCCGGGCGUCGACCGGCGCACGGGUGAGUAACGCGUAUCCAACCUGCCUCUGACUGAGGGAUAACCCGUCGAAAGUCGGCCUAAUACCUCAUGGCAUCGUCUGCGGGCAUCCAACGACGAUUAAAGAUUUCAUCGGUCAGGGAUGGGGAUGCGUCUGAUUAGCUUGUUGGCGGGGUAACGGCCCACCAAGGCUACGAUCAGUAGGGGUUCUGAGAGGAAGGUCCCCCACAUUGGAACUGAGACACGGUCCAAACUCCUACGGGAGGCAGCAGUGAGGAAUAUUGGUCAAUGGGCGGGAGCCUGAACCAGCCAAGUAGCGUGCAGGAUGACGGCCCUAUGGGUUGUAAGCUGCUUUUAUGCGGGGAUAAAGUGAGGGACGUGUCCUUCAUUGCAGGUACCGCAUGAAUAAGGACCGGCUAAUUCCGUG